CUGAAUAUACCGGUUCUCAUUCGAUCACCGAAGUCAAGCAUCAUUGGGCGCGGUUAGUACUUGGUAGGAUGACCAUCUGGGAACACCGCGCGCCGUU